UGAAAUCCCCGGGCUCAACCUGGGAACUGCAUUCGAAACUGGCAGGCUAGAGUCUUGUAGAGGGGGGUAGAAUUCCAGGUGUAGCGGUGAAAUGCGUAGAGAUCUGGAGGAAUACCGGUGGCGAAGGCGGCCCCCUGGACAAAGACUGACGCUCAGGUGCGAAAGCGUGGGGAGCAAACAGGAUUAGAUACCCUGGUAGUCCACGCCGUAAACGAUGUCGAUUUGGAGGUUGUGCCCUUGAGGCGUGGCUUCCGGAGCUAACGCGUUAAAUCGACCGCCUGGGGAGUACGGCCGCAAGGUUAAAACUCAAAUGAAUUGACGGGGGCCCGCACAAGCGGUGGAGCAUGUGGUUUAAUUCGAUGCAACGCGAAGAACCUUACCUGGUCUUGACAUCCACAGAACUUUCCAGAGAUGG
rnacentral:rRNA from 1 species